rnacentral:rRNA from 1 species
UACGUAGGGCGCAAGCGUUGUCCGGAAUUAUUGGGCGUAAAGAGCUCGUAGGUGGCUUGUCACGUCGGGUGUGAAAGCUUGGGGCUUAACUCCAGGUCUGCAUUCGAUACGGGCUGGCUAGAGGUAGGUAGGGGAGAACGGAAUUCCUGGUGUAGCGGUGAAAUGCGCAGAUAUCAGGAGGAACACCGGUGGCGAAGGCGGUUCUCUGGGCCUUACCUGACGCUCAUGCACGAAAGCGUGGGGAGCAAACAGG